rnacentral:rRNA from 1 species
GACGAACGCUGGCGGCGUGCUUAACACAUGCAAGUCGAACGGUGAGCCCCUUUCUUGUUGGGUGGUCGAGGUGGGAUGGGGAACGGAACAGUAAAACUGCGUUACCUUGCCCCUUGCUUCUGUUCAACGCACUGAAGCGUUGCCCAUAUAGGAUCUUCUGGGGCCGUGUGCGGGUUGGUACGGUUAAGCUAUUGGUUCUGGUGGGGGUGGGUCUCGCGGCCUUUCUGGUUUUUGGUGGGGUGAUGGCUUUCCAGGGCGGUGGCGGGUAGCCGGCUUGAGGGGGUGGACGGUCACACUGGGAGUGAGGCACGGCCCGGACUGCUACGGGGGGCAGCAGUGGGGAAUAUUGCGCAAUGGGGGCAAGCCUGAUGCAGCGACGCCGCGUGAGCGAUGGAGGCCUUCGGGUUGUGAACCUCUUUCGCCAGUGAAGCAGGUCUGCCUCGUUUGUGGGGGGGUUGACGGUAGCUGGAAAAGAAGCGCCGGCUAACUACGUG